UACGUAGGGAGCAAGCGUUGUCCGGAAUCAUUGGGCGUAAAGCGCGCGUAGGCGGCCAGAUAAGUCCGGUAUGAAAGUCAAAGGCUCAACCUUUGAAUGCCGCUGGAAACUGUCUGGCUUGAGUCCGGAAGGGGCGAGUGGAAUUCCUGGUGUAGCGGUGAAAUGCGCAGAUAUCAGGAGGAACACCAAUGGCGAAGGCAGCUCGCUGGAACGGUACUGACGCUGAGGCGCGAAAGCGUGGGGAGCGAACAGG
rnacentral:rRNA from 1 species